rnacentral:rRNA from 1 species
UUCUCCUACGGGGCGCAGCAGUGGGGAAUAUUGGGCAAUGGGCGCAAGCCUGACCCAGCAACGCCGCGUGAAGGAAGAAGGCUUUCGGGUUGUAAACCUCUUUUCUCAGGGACGAAGCAAGUGACGGUACCUGAGGAAUAAGCCACGGCUAACUACGUGCCAGCAGCCGCGGUAAUACGUAGGUGGCAAGCGUUAUCCGGAUUUACUGGGUGUAAAGGGCGUGUAGGCGGGGACGCAAGUCAGAUGUGAAAACCAUGGGCUCAACCUGUGGCCGGCAUUUGAAACUGUGUU